rnacentral:rRNA from 1 species
GACGAACGCUGGCGGCGUGCUUAACACAUGCAAGUCGAACGGAAAGGCCCCUUUGGGGGUACUCGAGUGGCGAACGGGUGAGUAACACGUGAGUAACCUGCCCUUGACUUCGGGAUAACUUCAGGAAACUGGGGCUAAUACCGGAUAGGAAUCCUUGCUGCAUGGUGGGGGUUGGAAAGCUUCGGCGGUUUUGGAUGGACUCGCGGCUUAUCAGCUUGUUGGUGGGGUAGUGGCUUACCAAGGCUUUGACGGGUAGCCGGCCUGAGAGGGCGACCGGCCACAUUGGGACUGAGAUACGGCCCAGACUCCUACGGGAGGCAGCAGUGGGGAAUAUUGCACAAUGGGCGGAAGCCUGAUGCAGCAACGCCGCGUGCGGGAUGACGGCCUUCGGGUUAUAAACCGCUUUCAGCAGGGGCGAAGCUUGUGGUGACGGUACCUGCAGAAGAAGCACCGGCUAACUACGUG